ACUCCACUGGUAGCCGAAAUGAUGGGGCUCUUUGAAAACCCGAUGGUGGUACCGGUAGUCGUCUCGCCCUUGUUAGCCCUAAUGGUAGACCAGGCGAAGGAGGCGAGCAAUGUUGGACUCACUGCCAUGCAACUGGGCGUCGAUAACCCAGCAAACAUAAAAAUAUGUCGUCAGUGCCAGUUGGUCUUCGGAGCAGUCAGGAGGCAUGGCUUUUGCUGAACGCGACGUGUUGUCUUCCAAGACAAGGUCCUCGGAGUGGACGAGGUUCACCUCAUAUAAUGGGGGAAACGUGACAAAGGGAAGGCCUUCAGGUAUUGUUUUGGCAAGCUAGGAGAACACAUCUGACAGACAAAAAGGUUUCAUCAAAGACACACAGACAGCUCCUGAAGUAAAGGACCUACACAGGACCUUCAUAUCAAGGACAUUGACUGUGUGGAUCUCGAGGUGCAGUUACCCAAAAGUUGCUACCCACGGAAUACCAGGUUUUGAGGGAUCCUGCCAGAGCAGAGAAUCAACAGAUACAUUGAAGAGGAGACUCCGACAUGACCGCCGGCAUCUUGUGUUAUUCACCCCCACCACUUGUAAUACUGAAUGCCUGAAUUGUUGUUUGCUGCUCAGACUUUGUCAACAGAUAUGGUCUUCGACAUGUUACCCUUAGGUGUGGAAACAGAUUGUGACAGUCCAGCAAAAUGAGCCAGACAGAUAGUAACACUGAAAAAGGACAACGUUGUUCCCAUGGCCUCCCACUGCAGAAGACUACAGACGUUCAGUGAAGCACAAACAGCUGUUCCUCUUGUACUUAAUAAUUUAGUCAGCUGGAUUCUAGGUGCCACUAAGGAGCCAACAGUGGAUAAUUUUGUCAACAUUUCAAUGGCAUACAUUAAAAGGGCAGCCUGUAAUUGUUUGCCUUGCCUCCAUCUUCCUUGCCACCAA